UUUUUGGAAUGAGUUAUGAGGAAUUAUGAUAAAAAAAAAAAAAUGAGAACUUCUGUUUGGUGUUAACAGUGUUAUGCCUGCUUUGCUCUAGUGCUUCCUAACCUACUGUAUGAAGGAGGUAUUGCAAGGCAAGACAGUAAGUAUAACCAUAAAGAGACUCACACACUCUCAGGUGAAGUGCAAAAAUACUGACCAUGGUGUUCAAAUAUUAAGGAGGAGUAAGCGUUCAAAUUCAGAUAUGUAAGAUAAUUUCUCAAAAAAAAAAAAAACAGGAAAAACCUAUCAUUAAUUUUUUAAAAUAUAUCUUCCAGAGCAGUUUUCUCAACGAUUUUACAUAGAAGAGGAGUAUUUUUGUCUCCCUAAGAUUUGGACUUAAGGUAAAAGUUGUUGAGGGUUGAUAGGCUCUUGUAAGUUUCAGGUGAAACCUAGAGAGGAGAAGGGAAGAAGAUAAAUCUAGUAUCCUAGAUCCUUUUUAAGCAGCAGCAGUUCCACUCCUGACUCUUUCCUGAAGAUGGUCUCAGGUCUUCAGGAGACCCUAUGCAAGGACCCUACUGUGCACUCUGUUGAGUGUUCUGGCUCUCUGGUAUCAGGUCACUGGGCCUACUCUACUUUUGGUGUCAUUCUGGCCCUGUGAAGAAACCAUGAGGAGAAUCUGGUCAAUGCAUUUUGUAGUUAACACCACAAACGACAUGGGAAACUUAGCCAGAGAGCUAUUAGAGUGGCGAUCAGUGACGCUGCUGCUCUACACAGUCUGUCUCAUGUGCUUUAAGAUGGAAACACCUAAUGCUGACUUAGCCUUCACCAAAGUGAACAGACCACUCUUCUAAGGUUUCUGGUUGUUAUCAAGAAGUACAAGCAAAGAAUGACAAGCAGAACAAUGGACAUUUGUUAAGUGAUUGGCUUGCAUAUGUUGGCUCCUUCAAUACUAACAGCAACGAGUAGUUACUAUUAUUACAGCCCUGUUACAGAUGAACAGUAGGUACUAUUAUUCAGUCCAUGUAACAAGUGAGGGCGUGAAGCUUAUCAAGGAGUUCACUGGCCAUUUCUUGACCAGGAUACAAGCUCGUAAUGUUUCUCUCUUUUGUAAAUCUGAAUUUUCCAACACUUUUUGAUUUAAGAAUUGAUCUGGAAAGCCCUUUAUUCACAGUUGCUUUCUGGCUACUGUCAGUAAAAAGGAUAGGCUCAAAGGAGAUCUGUUGUGUUUAGAAUGGUAGAGGUAUAAGAGAUCUAUUUUUUAUCUUUAAAAACGUCAUUACUUGUUUUACUGGUGUUAGUUAUUGACUCUUUUUCCUUUAUAGUAACAGAAUUAUUUAUGUAUGAAAGAUUAUUUAAAAAGUCCCAUUCUAAUGACAAUCAAUUAAUUUACCAACAAAUACAGUAAAAUUGCAAAACAAAACCUUGCAACGUUCUUAAAAUACAGCUUUUGGACACUCAAAACAAGAUAAAAUCUUACAGAUAACGUGAAUAUAUUAUUAGUUAUUUCACAUUAGAAAGGAAGAAUGUUGAAAAAAAUCAUUAUCAUAUGUGGUUUAAACAUUGCUUUCCACACACAGGUUUCAGAGGCUCUGACAUUUUUCAGGAACAUAGAUUAUUUGGCUG
rnacentral:lncRNA from 1 species